GGAUUAGAUACCCUGGUAGUCCACGCCGUAAACGAUGAUUACUCGCUGUUGGCGAUAUACUGUCAGUGGCUGAGCGAAAGCAUUAAGUAAUCCACCUGGGGAGUACGGUCGCAAGAUUGAAACUCAAAGGAAUUGACGGGGGCCCGCACAAGCGGUGGAGCAUGUGGUUUAAUUCGAUGAUACGCGAGGAACCUUACCAGGGCUUAAAUGUAGAUUGACUAAUCUGGAAACAGAUUUUUCUUCGGACAAUUUACAAGGUGCUGCAUGGUUGUCGUCAGCUCGUGUCG
rnacentral:rRNA from 1 species